UCCGUAGGUGAACCUGCGGAGGGAUCAUUACAGAGUUAUCCAACUCCCAAACCCAUGUGAACUUAUCUCUUUGUUGCCUCGGCGCAAGCUACCCGGGGCCUCGCGCCCCGGGCGGCCCGCCGGCGGACAAACCAAAACUCUUGUUAUCUUAGUUGAUUAUCUGAGUGUCUUAUUUAAUAAGUCAAAACUUUCAACAACGGAUCUCUUGGUUCUGGCAUCGAUGAAGAACGCAGCGAAAUGCGAUAAGUAAUGUGAAUUGCAGAAUUCAGUGAAUCAUCGAAUCUUUGAACGCACAUUGCGCCCAUUAGUAUCCUAGUGGGCAUGCCUGUUCGAGCGUCAUUUCAACCCCUAAGCACAGCUUAUUGUUGGGAACCUACGGCUUCGUAGUUCCUCAAAGACAUUGGCGGAGUGGCAGUGGUCCUCUGAGCGUAGUAAUCUUUUAUCUCGCUUCUGUUAGGUGCUGCCCCCCCGGCCGUAAAACCCCCAAUUUUUUCUGGUUGACCUCGGAUCAGGUAGGAAUACCCGCUGAACUUAAGCAUAUCAAUAAGCGG
rnacentral:rRNA from 1 species